CCAAGAAAAAUCUUCCAUUCGAAUAAUAAUUUCAGAUUGAGGAGUCUGACAAAAUUAUCAGCAACAAUUAAUUGAUCAUCCGAUUUGAUGCGGCAUCCCAGCGGAAUCUUCUUCUUCUUCUUCUUGAAAGAAUCUUCAAAGUGGCACGGCGUUGUGGAUACUGCCCAUUUAGGCCGACCAUUACUACGGUAUUUUUGGCUGAUAGUAUGUAUGAACUUGCAGACGGCUAAACUAUGAAAACUUUCCACAAGAAAAUUGGUGCAGUCAAUCACGCCCCUGGAAAAGUCUUUGAAAUGUUGCACACGAUUCUUCUGAUCAGGAUCGAGCCAGCCCCAUAUAUAUCCACAUACACCAUCGCGUUGCGAAGAGUGGGCAAGCGUGAGAGCCUUUCAGCAGGUUGCCUCUCCAAACCUAUACAAGCAAAAGCGAACGAGUGAGGAGCAUGGCCUCUCAUGAUAGCCGAAGAAGAAGAAGAGGACUUGCCGUUCUCGCUUUCGUUGCCUCCAUGUUCUGGUUGCUGGCAUCGCAGUCCAUUUGCGACGGCCGAGUGUUGAACUACUGGAUUGAUCCGAGCUUGUGGUUUGUGCGUCUUCCCCAAGGAAUAGUGGGUUGCAGUACGCCUGGUGGUAUGAAGAUUUGUGAUCCUCCCGUGAGGGUCAGGGACCCUAAACCUCAACCCCCGGUCACGGUUGCAGUAUCAACUCCGCCUUAACCAAGUAUUGACAUAACGGCCGGCCUUUCAAGUCCUUCCGCCACCACCACCACUACUUCUCUCUCUCUCUCUCACUCUUCCAUGCUCUAUGAUGUGUCUAUGACAUGUACGACAUAAUUAAAAUAAAUUGGAUUAUUGUGUUAUCAUCGUA